GACGAACGCUGGCGGCGUGCUUAACACAUGCAAGUCGAACGGUGAAGCGCUUUCCUUUUUGGUUGGUGUGGAUGAGUGGCGAACGGGUGAGUAACACGUGAGUAACCUGCCCCCUUCUUCUGGAUAACCGCAUGAAAGUGUGGCUAAUACGGGAUAUUCUGCGCCUGCUGCAUGGUGGGUGGGGGAAAGAUUGUGCCUUUGGGUGUGUUCGGUGGGGGAUGGGCUCGCGGCCUAUCAGCUUGUUGGUGGGGUGAUGGCCUACCAAGGCGGUGACGGGUAGCCGGCCUGAGAGGGUGGACGGUCACACUGGGACUGAGCCACGGCCCAGACUCCUACGGGAGGCAGCAGUGGGGAAUAUUGCACACUGGGCGCCAGCCUGAUGCAGCGACGCCGCGUGAGGGAUGGAGGCCUUCGGGUUGUGAACCUCUUUCGCCAGUGAAGCAGGCCUGCUCCUUGUGGGUGGGUUGACGGUAGCUGGAUAAGAAGCGCCGGCUAACUACGUG
rnacentral:rRNA from 1 species